rnacentral:rRNA from 1 species
UGGGGAAUAUUGCACAAUGGGCGCAAGCCUGAUGCAGCCAUGCCGCGUGUAUGAAGAAGGCUUUCGGGUUGUAAAGUACUUUCAGUCGGGAGGAAGGUGGUAAGGUUAAUAACCUUAUCAAUUGACGUUACCGACAGAAGAAGCACCGGCUAACUCCGUGCCAGCAGCCGCGGUAAUACGGAGGGUGCAAGCGUUAAUCGGAAUUACUGGGCGUAAAGCGCACGCAGGCGGUUGAUUGAGUCAGAUGUGAAAUCCCCGGGCUUAACCCGGGAAUUGCAUCUGAUACUGGUCAGCUAGAGUCUUGUAGAGGGGGGUAGAAUUCCAUGUGUAGCGGUGAAAUGCGUAGAGAUCUGGAGGAAUACCGGUGGCGAAGGCGGCCCCCUGGACAAAGACUGACGCUCAGGUGCGAAAGCGUGGGGAGCAAACAGG